rnacentral:rRNA from 1 species
GAUCCUGGCUCAGAUUGAACGCUGGCGGCAGGCUUAACACAUGCAAGUCGAACGGUAACAUGAAGAAGCUUGCUUCUUUGAUGACGAGUGGCGGACGGGUGAGUAAUGCUUGGGGAAUCUAGCUUAUGGAGGGGGGAUAACUACGGGAAACUGUAGCUAAUACCGCGUAGUAUCGGAAGAUGAAAGUGUGGGACCUUCGGGUCCGACCACUGCCACUAGGAUGAGGCCCAACGUAGGGGAGUUAGGUAGGUUGGUUGG